rnacentral:rRNA from 1 species
AGGGCACCACCAGGAGUGGAGCCUGCGGCUUAAUUUGACUCAACACGGGAAAACUCACCCGGCCCGGACACUGGAAGGAUUGACAGAUUGAGAGCUCUUUCUUGAUUCACUGGGUGGUGGUGCAUGGCCGUUCUUAGUUGGUGGAGUGAUUUGUCUGGUUAAUUCCGAUAACAAACGAGACUCUAGCCUACUAAAUAGAUAGUCGGCUUACAAACGUCGACUAGACUUCUUAGAGGGACAGGCGGUGAUUCAACCCCACGAAACACAUCAAUAACAGGUCUGUGAUGCCCUUGGAUGUCCGGGGCCGCACGCCCGCUACACUGAAGUGAUCAGCGUGCUUUUUCAGCCUACUCUGUCAAGAGUGGGUAACCCAAUCAACCUUCUUCGUAAUUGGGAUAGGGGAUUGUAACUAUACCCCUUGAACGAGAUAAUUCCCCUGAAACGCGACUCAAAGUUAGUGUUGUUUUUUCCGUGCCCUUUGUACACGCGAGGGCGUCUGUAUUUACUGAUUGAAUGUUU